CCGGAAUUACUGGGCGUAAAGAGCACGUAGGCGGGAACUUAAGUCAGGUGUGAAAGACCGUGGCUCAACCACGGGGUGGCAUUUGAAACUGGGUUUCUUGAGGGCAGGAGAGGAAAGCAGAAUUCCUGGUGUAGCGGUGAAAUGCGUAGAAAUCAGGAGGAAUACCAGUGGCGAAGGCGGCUUUCUGGACUGACCCUGACGCUGAGGUGCGAAAGCGUGGGUAGCAAACAGGAUUAGAUACCCUGGUAGUCCACGCCGUAAACGAUGGAUACUAGGUGUGGGAGGUAUCGACCCCUUCCGUGCCGCAGCUAACGCAAUAAGUAUCCCGCCUGGUGAGUACGGUCGCAAGGCUGUAACUCAAAUGAAUUGACGGGCGCCCGCACAAGCGAUGGAGCAUGUGGUUUAAUUCGAUGCAACGCGAAGAACCUUACCAGGUCUUGACAUCCCACGAAUCCAUCUGAAAGGAUGGAGUGCCUUCGGGAGCGUGGAGACAGGUGGUGCAUGGUUGUCGUCAGCUCGUGUCGUGAGAUGUUGGGUUAAGUCCCGCAACGAGCGCAACCCUUGCCAAUAAUUACUAACGUGUAAAGACGAGCGACUAUAUCGGGACCGCCGAGGUACUAGCUCGGAGGGAGGGUAGGGGACGACGUCAAAUCAUCAUGUCCCUUAUGACCUGGGCUACACACGUGCUACCAUGGUCGAGACAGAGAGUGCCGAUGCGCGAGCCGGAUCUGCAUCUCAAAAAAAGCGGUCACAGGUUCGGAUUGUGGGCUGCACUCCGCCCACAUGAAGCAGGAGUUGCUAGUCAUCGCGAAUCAGC
rnacentral:rRNA from 1 species